CUUAGGUCUUUUCACCACAGGGUCCUCAUAGUCAUUGCUCAAGUCUGCCAUUUUAUGCAAACUCAACCAUAGACAGUAUAUAAAUGUAUGGGUGUGGCUCUUUCUAUUUCAAUAAAUCUUAGUUUACAAAAACAGGUAUUGGCCAUGGACCUUAGUUUUCCAAUCCCUGGCUCAAGCCACAUUUGGAAGGGUAUUCUUUUAUUUGCAGUUCAAUGAAUUCUAAUCAUAUAUUCCUUCUCCUUAAAUUCUACUCACUAGCUUCAUUAACAUCUAAAAUUAUGCAGUUAGCACCCUACUUCUUGUUUAAGUGAAAGCUCACUGCCCCUGUUGUGGUAUAAAUGGUACUAAAGGGAAUGAAACACCAAUCUUUAUCAGUUAUUUAUACCUUAGUAUAAAUUAUUUUAAUAAGCCCUUUGUUAAGCAAAGAAUGUUGUAGGCUAGAUCAGUUUUAAGAAGUAUUUACUCCCUCUUCUCACCCAGUGUGUUAUUUGCCCACAAAAGCAUGGUGCAAUC
rnacentral:lncRNA from 1 species